CUGUAAGAAGGAGAUGUCGGACUGUAUGAUGGCGAUGUUGGGCUGUAUGAUGGAGACGUGGGGCUGUAUGCAGGUGAAGUUGGGCUAUAUGCCGGUGAAGUAGGGCUGUAGCUUGGUGAAGUUGGACUAUAACUUGGUGAAGUAGGACUGUAACUUGGAGACGUAGGGCUGUAGCUUGGAGACGUAGGGCUGUAGCUUGGAGAGGUAGGGCUAUAGCUCGGUGAGGUUGGAGAAUAAGAGGGACUUGUAGGUGAGUAGGCUGGACUUGUUGGGCUGUAACCUGGUGAACUAGGACUGUAAGUAGGUGAUGUGGGGCUGUAACCAGGCGAGGUAGGACUGUAGCCAGGAGAUGUAGGGCUGUAACCAGGCGAGGUAGGACUGUAGCCAGGAGAUGAAGGACUGUAGCCAGGAGAUGAUGGGCUGUAACCAGGGGAUGACGUGGGAGAGAAUGCCAUCCCACCAACAUAAGGUGAGAACUGAGCAUCCGAAAUGGGAGAGAGACGGAGAUUUGGGCUCAGCAAGUAACUUGGAGACAUCAUGCCUUCAUGAUAUGGAGUUCCUGAUACUGGAGAUCGA
rnacentral:lncRNA from 1 species